AUUUUGGAUCAGGUCUCUUUUUUGUUUUAAUUUCUCUGGAAUACAUCCCAGAUACAGAGUUCUUGAAUCAUCGGAGUCCACAGAUUUACAUUACUAGCUUCAGCUGUCUGGGAAACUUUUUCAAGGAGAAAAGCAAAACGGGCCAUUCCAUUUUAUUGGAAAGUCAAGACAUGGGGACAUCAACAAGAGCCAUUCUUUGACCGCUGGAACUCUUACCUUUCGACUUUGACCUGGGAGGCAGUCAUCAUGCCUUAUUUUACACUUCAUAAACUUCAUAAAACCCUCACAAUGGUUACUGCCAUACACUGUUACAAAUCUUAUGGUCUGAAGUACUGAGCUAUUGCCUUGUAUAUGACAACAAUGUUUGGAAUGAACUUUUAUUCAAAACAACUUACAGUGCAUUCAAUGUAUUUCAUUAGUAAAAAACAACCAACAAACAUGUAAACGUAUCAUGAGUGCCCUUAUAAUGAAACCUUUAUUUAGCCCCUCUGAAACUGACAUUUGUUUAGUGUGAGUGUAAAAACUGAAAAAGUAGAAAACUGAAACUGUGUUACUGUCUAUAGUUAUGUCAGUGAUCCAGACUGUAUCUGUGUAACCAUUGUAAAAUAGGCAAAAGAAAUGCAACAUCACUAAUGCUUUUGAUCUUAGUGCAGAAGGAGCUCAGCUUUGAGAUAAGUGGGUGGGUUAUGGGGACUUAAACUAAUCAUGUGUCUGUUGGUCAAAACUCUUCUCCACAAUGUCAACAGCUCUCAGUUUCAGCAAAGAUGCUUCAGAUUAAUAUAUUGGUUAGAAUUGCCCCUGAUUUCCAGCUUAGAUCAUUUACCAUGAAGACUAAUGAUUUAGGGGCCAAAAGCAAACAUUUCCCUGACCGUUGAGAAUUUCAACCUGGUAUAAGGUUAGCUAAAGACUAAGCAACAAAUUUCAUAAAUGGGCAUUGCAUUGUCGGACUGAGAGACACGACAAUGGGGGUAAGGGUUUGAUGAUUGAGAGUGAAGGAAAUUAAAUGUCUCCUGAUCUCAAUGUACCAGAGAAAUACAACACUCAUGAUAGAGACACGGGAGGUUUUAGCUACUCUGAACUACGUGUCCCUAAGAGCAUCAAGUAAUCUGAGCUAAUCACGAUUCAAUUUAAUUAAGCACUGUUUGAGAUUUUUUUGCUAGCAGCCAUUAAUUAAGAUUCAAAAAUCUUUUUUCUUUUUCUUGUCAAGUUCUUCGUCCUGUGUGUCUAUUUGUUCAAUGUUACAAACAACUCUGGAGUAGCCAUACGAGGGAUGUGGGUAGCAGAGAAAGGCCUCUGCCCUUUUCAACAAAAGCGUCUUUGUGUUUAUAAUAAUUUGUGAAGUCUGAAGUCCAUUUUUGUAAUUCUUUCUUGUUCGUUUUUUUUUACCAUGCAUUAGCAUAGCAUGUGUUUCAUGUGUUUAACAGUUCCUACAUUAUGCCAUCCAGAUGGUAGAACCUUGGAAAGUUUGGUUCUAACCACAGUGCUGUAUGCUUAAUAAAUAUGAGCUGACAUUAA